UAUUAGGAUUCUUGUGUUGGCUUAAAUGGACUAACAUCCUGCCCUGUGGUGGGAGGCCAUGUGGGCCGAGUCAUGUUCGAAACGGCGUGAGAUUGGGUUGGGCCGAGUCAUGUCGAGAUCCGUGGGCGCUAUAUCUGUACGCUUUAAGUGAAUUAGUUGCGUAUUUCUAACAGCUCGAGUUUUAGGGAUUAAUGGUUAACGCCAACGAUCCGACAAGUGUUAUUACAGACAGAGGUCACGGGUUCGAUUCCCGCAUGCUGCAAAUGUGUGCAGGUGCUGGAGGGGGGAUUAUUGGCUUAAAUGGACCAGCAUCCUGCCCUAUGACGGGAGGCCAUGUGGGCCGAGUCAUGUUCGAAACGGCGUGAGAUUGGGUUGGGCCGAGUCAUGUCGAGAUCCGUGGGCGCUAUAUCUGUACGCUUUAAGUGAAUUAGUUGCGUAUUUCUAACAGCUCGAGUUUUAGGGAUUAAUGGUUAACGCCAACGAUCCGACAAGUGUUAUUACAGACAGAGGUCACGGGUUCGAUUCCCGCAUGCUGCAAAUGUGUGCAGGUGCUGGAGGGGGGAUUAUUGGCUUAAAUGGACCAGCAUCCUGCCCUAUGACGGGAGGCCAUGUGGGCCGAGUCAUGUUCGAAAUGGCAUGAGGCUGGGUUGGGCUGAGUUAUGUUCAAAGUGGCGUGAGGCCAGGUGGGCCGAGUCACAAUCGAGACCCGUGGGCGCUAUAUCUGUACGCUUUAAGUGAAUUGAUUGCGUAUUUCUAAUUUGAAUUAAUGGUUAGUGCCAACGA
rnacentral:lncRNA from 1 species